rnacentral:rRNA from 1 species
AGCAGCCGCGGUAAUUCCAGCUCCAAUAGCGUAUAUUAAAGUUGUUGCAGUUAAAAAGCUCGUAGUUGAAUUUCGGGGUCAGCAGGUUGGUCGUGCCAAUGGUAUGAACUGGCCUUGCUGAUUCCUCCCUCUUGAUGAGCCGUAAUGUCAUUAAUUUGGUGUUGCGGGGAAUCAGGACUGUUACUUUGAAAAAAUUAGAGUGUUUAAAGCAGGCAAGCGCUUGAAUACAUUAGCAUGGAAUAAUGAAAUAGGACGUUUGAUCCUAUUUUGUUGGUUUCUAGGAUUGACGUAAUGAUUAAUAGGGAUAGUUGGGGGCAUUAGUAUUCAAUUGUCAGAGGUGAAAUUCUUGGAUUUAUUGAAGACUAACUACUGCGAAAGCAUUUGCCAAGGAUGUUUUCAUUAAUCAAGAACGAAAGUUAGGGGAUCGAAGACGAUCAGAUACCGUCGUAGUCUUAACCAUAAACUAUGCCGACUAGGGAUCGGAUGAUGUUGAUUUUUUAAUGACUCA